UGUUCUCUGGGUUGUUUGUAAUGUUAUUGACGUCCCUGAGCCGAUAAUUGUUUUAUCUAGGAAUUCUUCUGCGUUGCUUUUGUGCAGGCCCGGCUUGUACCGGGAAGCCUACGGUAACCAUGAGUCUUCCGCCUUGAACCUUGGGUUCAAGGGCUUAAAUAACAAACGGCAAUUCGGAGAACCC
rfam:Arsukibacterium sp. MJ3 EFN4V4R1, whole genome shotgun sequence.